rnacentral:rRNA from 1 species
UACGUAGGAUGCAAGCGUUGUCCGGAAUUAUUGGGCGUAAAGAGCGCGCAGGCGGUUUGGAAAGUUGGGCGUGAAAUUUUAGGGCUUAACCCUAAAGGGUCGUCCAAAACUCCCAGACUAGAGUGCAGGAGAGGAAAGCGGAAUUCCCGGUGUAGUGGUGGAAUGCGUAGAUAUCGGGAGGAACACCAGUGGCGAAAGCGGCACUCUGGGCCUAAACUGACGCUGAGGGGCGAAAGCGUGGGGAGCGAACGGG